GAUGAACGCUGGCGGCGUGCCUAACACAUGCAAGUCGAACGAAGCAAUAAAGACGGAGAUUCGUCAAAGCCUUUAUUGACUUAGUGGCGGACGGGUGAGUAACGCGUGAGCAACCUGCCUUUCAGAGGGGGACAACAGUUGGAAACGGCUGCUAAUACCGCAUACUAUACAGAGGGGGCAUCCCUUUUGUAUCAAAGGAGAAAUCCGCUGAAAGAUGGGCUCACGUCUGAUUAGCUAGUUGGUGAGGUAACGGCUCACCAAGUCAACGAUCAGUAGCCGGACUGAGAGGUUGAACGGCCACAUUGGGGACUGAGAUACGGCCCAG
rnacentral:rRNA from 1 species